CAGUCGCGCGGGAAUACGUAGGGUGCAAGCGUUAAUCGGAAUUACUGGGCGUAAAGCGUGCGUAGGCGGCUUCUUAAGUCGGAUGUGAAAUCCCUGAGCUUAACUUAGGAAUUGCAUUCGAUACUGGGAAGCUAGAGUAUGGGAGAGGAUGGUAGAAUUCCAGGUGUAGCGGUGAAAUGCGUAAAGAUCUGGAGGAAUACCGAUGGCGAAGGCAGCCAUCUGGCCUAAUACUGACGCUGAGGUACGAAAGCAUGGGGAGCAAACAGGAUUAGAUACCCCCGUAGUCCCUGUCUCUUAUACC
rnacentral:rRNA from 1 species